CUGAUAAACACAUCCUCUCUCAUUUCGUUUUUCCCUCGCGGCACGAUGCUAAGCACAUUACACACACAGCACGCCACUGUGCUCGUCGUCACACUGGUCGGAACAUCAUGUGUGACGUACGUGUCACACCUAUGGUGCCAGAGAGCAGUUGGGAGGGAAGGAUGGAUGGAGGACAAGGCGGAGAGACAAGUGUGCUGGAGGCAGAGCAGAUACACAUCAGCUGUAACCUGUUCCAUAAUCAAGACCUCUACAAGUACUCAGCCCUGCCACUUCCAUGCUGCCAGAUCGGAACAUCUGCUCAGUCAGUCUAUGGUUUUAGAUGUUUGUUCCUGC
rnacentral:lncRNA from 1 species